rnacentral:rRNA from 1 species
UACAGAGGUCUCAAGCGUUGUCCGGAUUCAUUGGGCGUAAAGGGUGCGUAGGUGGCAUGGUAAGUCGGAUGUGAAAUCCCGGGGCUCAACCCCGGAACUGCAUUCGAUACUGCUGCGCUAGAGUACUGGAGAGGAGAUUGGAAUUUACGGUGUAGCAGUGAAAUGCGUAGAUAUCGUAAGGAAGACCAGUGGCGAAGGCGGAUCUCUGGACAGUUACUGACACUGAGGCACGAAGGCCAGGGGAGCAAACGGG